rnacentral:rRNA from 1 species
UACGGGGGGAGCAAGCGUUGUUCGGAUUUACUGGGCGUAAAGGGCGCGUAGGCGGUCAGCACAAGUCAGUUGUGAAAUCUCCGGGCUUAACUCGGAAAGGUCAACUGAUACUGUGCGACUAGAGUGCAGAAGGGGCAACUGGAAUUCUCGGCGUAGCGGUGAAAUGCGUAGAUAUCGUCAAGAACACCGAUAGCGAAGGCAGCUUACUAGACUGUAACUGACGCUGAGGCACGAAAGUGUGGGGAUCAAACAGG